UGAAUUUUGAGCAGUCGCGGUUAGCUUUAUGCUAGCUGAGGAAAGUCCACGCACGCACGAGCUGCGAUGCUCGUAGUGAUCGUAUUCAGCCUAAUAAGCUGGAGGAUUUUUAAUCACGGCGGAAAAAAUGCUAAAUCUUCGGACAUGCAUAAGUAUCCUGAAAAGUGCCACAGUGACGAAGCAAAAUCGGAAACGAUUUUGGUGGAACGAGGUAAACCCUGCGAGCGUGUAACCCAAAUUUGGUGGGGGCGUCUCGAUCUAAGAAAUUGAACUAAAGGUCGGAUUAUUGCUUAAAGCAAUAAAGAUAGAUGGCUGCUGAAGGUAAUCUCGCCAAGGAUUGCUGGAACAGAACGUGGCUUAUAGAAAUU
rnacentral:RNase_P_RNA from 1 species